UUAGACCUAGAACAAAAAACAUCAGAUAAUUAGAUCCCUGACCUAAGCGAUAGAGACCCCUAGAGAGAGCUUGAAAAACUGCGCAUCUGAAAAUUUUUUCCUCUUCUUCUCCAUUCUUUAUUCUUCCCAUCCUCACUCACCCCAAGCUAAGGAGCCACCUCUUCGUCUAGCUCCCUGAUCUCUCUCAGUCUUGAGAGAACAACAUCAAGCCAAAAACAGGUUUGGAAAUAAAAAAUAAAUAAAAAAUUAAAAAAAAAAAUCCGAAAAUCACAAACCUAUGGAAACAAGAGAGAAAACUGCAUUUCGACGAGGUCUGAAGGGGGAUUGACUACUGAAGUUCCAAAAUUCAACUUCCUCUGUUUUUUUUCUGGGUUUGCACAAGCCAUCGAAGCUCGAAGUUAUGGUUGUUUUUGUUGAUUUGGUUGUUUCAAAAGGCUGCUAAACUCUAGUUCUUUUUUUUCUCGGCAUUUAGAUUUCAAUAACAUGACAUGCUUGCGGAUUUCAUGCCCAGAUCCUAAAAUGUUGUCAGGCUUCGAAAUAAUGAGUCAAGAAUCAAAAUGCAAUGAAGAUAAGUUUAAGGAAAUAAAGCAAAGACUCAGAAUAGCUGAAGAAAAAUUGGUUCCAGAUUUGAAAGGUCCAUACAUGGUAAUGAGUAUUGCCAAAAAGAGCAUUGUACCUGGGGAACAUCGAAAGAAAUAUCCCUAAAACAACUAUCAAUGCAGGUGCAAUUAAAAGGUUUUCACCGUGGGGCACAAGGUUUGAGAUGACCAAAAGAAGAAGUCUCAACCCAAAUAAAAGAAAAGAAGAACAAGAAAAGUAGUUGAACUCUCAGUGAAGAAGCGGAGAAAAGAUGCGGACUGCUCAAGAUAUGAUUGAAGGCACAAGUUUUGCAUGUCCCGCCUUGAUCCGAAAAACCGAAGAAGCAUGAAUCAGCGGUUGCAGCUAACGAGUAUCAAGAUUCAGAUCAGAGUCUGCAGGAAGAACCAUACAAGACUCAAGAUCAAGAUUAGAAGGUUUAUAGAUAGGAAUCUUGU